CCCUUAGAUGUUCUGGGCUGCAUGCGCGCUACACUGAAGCUAUCAACACGUUUUCCCUCCCUGAGAAGGGCGGGUAACCUUUUGAAUCAGCUUCGUGGUAGGGAUCGGGGCUUGCAAUUGUUCCCCGUGAACCAGGAAUUCCCAGUAGACGCGAGUCAUAAGCUCGCAUCGAUUAAGUCCCUGCCCUUUGUACACACCGCCCGUCGCUACUACCGAUUGAACGUUUUAGUGAGGCAUUUGGACCGACGCAUCUCAGUUUAACCGCUGGUUUGUGUUGGAAAGACUUCCAAACUUGAGCGUUUAGAGGAAGUAAAAGUCGUAACA
rnacentral:rRNA from 1 species